rnacentral:rRNA from 1 species
AGUAAAAGUCGUAACAAGGUUUCCGUAGGUGAACCUGCGGAAGGAUCACUAGUGAUUAAAUCGAGCGUGUCUUCAUUGACCGCUCACCCUUCUCACCAUCCACAUACACCUGUGCACUGUUUAGCCUGAGCCGGUUUUCCGGUCCAGGUUAUCAUUUCAUACAAACUCUAGUCUUAUGAAUGUAAACGUUUUAAUAACAUAAUAAAACUUUCAACAACGGAUCUCUUGGUUCUCGCAUCGAUGAAGAACGCAGCGAAAUGCGAUAAGUAAUGUGAAUUGCAGAAUUCAGUGAAUCAUCGAAUCUUUGAACGCACCUUGCGCUCCUUGGUAUUCCGAGGAGCAUGCCUGUUUGAGUGUCAUGAAACUCUCACCCUCUAGCUUUCUUAAUCGUGGCUAGCGGCGUGGACGUGAGCGCUGCUGCUUUGUUGCGGCUCGCUCGAAAUGCAUUAGCAGACCCCUUUCGUAAUCGGUUCCACUCAACGUGAUAAGUAUUUCGUUGAGGACAGUUGCAGCAAUGCGGCUGGCCGGGAUAGGAAAGGCAUAGUUGUCAGCUUCUAAUCGCCCUUGGGCAAUUUUUUAUGAUCUGGCCUCAAAUCAGGUAGGACUACCCGCUGAACUUAAGCAUAUCAAUAAGCGGAGGAAAAGAAACUAACAAGGAUUCCCCUAGUAACGGCGAGUGAAGCGGGAUGAGCUCAAAUUUAAAAUCUGGCGGUCUCAGAUCGUCCGGGUUGUAGUCUAGAGAAGCGUCUUCCGUGC